rnacentral:rRNA from 1 species
AUUGAACGCUGGCGGCAGGCCUAACACAUGCAAGUCGAACGAGUGGCGGACGGGUGAGUACUGUCGGGGAAACUGCCCGAUGGGGGGGGAUCACUAAUGGAAACGGUAGAUAAUACCGCAUACAAUCGGAUGUGCCCAGAUGGGAUUGGCUAGUAGGUGGGGUAACGGCUCACUGAGGCGACGAUCCCUAGCUGGUCUGAGAGGAUGACCAGCCACACUGGAACUGAGACACGGUCCAGACUCCUACGGGAGGCAGCAGUGGGGAAGAUUGCACAAGGGGCGCAAGCCUGAUGCAGCCAUGCCGCGUGUAUGAAGAAGGCCUUCGGGUUGUAAAGUACUUUAAGCGAGGAGGCGUUACUCGCAGAAGAAGCACCGGCUAACUCCGUGCCAGCAGCCGCGGUAAUUC